rnacentral:rRNA from 1 species
AUGGGUGAUGACUCGAUCGAUACCGCGACUUGGGACAAGCUGGGGAUCAAGGACAAGGAGCCCGAGAAUGGACCUUCCGCCGGGGAGGCGGCAAAGGACCAGGAGGAGCGUCAAGGUGUUGUGGGCAGCAAUGAAACGGGCUUCGAUCAAUACGGCUCCAACCUGUCGCUCGGCAUCGACAUCGACAAGGGCGUCUCUGCUUCCUGUGUCUCGGAGGGGCGCUCGUUGCUCGUCUCCCCUGCGGCUGCGGGGAUGGGUGGGGCACGCGUGGUGGUGCGAUCUCCUCCGCCAGCGCUUGGUCAAGGUGGCGGUGGGAUUCGGUCCCACAAGAAGACGGCGGGACGCAAGGCAACCCCGGUGGCGCCGGAUGAUAUGCUAACAUUGACAGGUCCACAACGGGCAUUAGUUCCGCCGGAUAAUAUUUACUUUGAGUUCAAUAUGAGGGUGAAGGGUGAUGCCAGCGACGAAGAUUUUAGCAAAGGUGUAAUACAGCUCCAUGUCGUCCCCUAUGACCCUGAACCAAUCACAAGGGUGCUUAGUAGUUGGCUGAGCAGAGUGGAGUUGGUGCUCGCACCUGUUGAUGGUCCAGUGGCAGCUAGCCUUGAAGUCAAGAUUUUGAAAGGAGCACCACCUUUGAUUGACAAAAUAUGUGCUGGGACUAGUGAAGACCCUGAGACUCAGAUGAUUGUGUAUGAUAGUAGAGAGAUGAAGAGCGGUUCCUCUGUUGUGUUAAGUCGUAACUUGGUAGCUGUCCCUGACCCGGAUGAUGAAGAAGAUGAAAUUAUUGCCCAUGUUCGCUUCCUUGAUGAUGGCGAUGAUGUCGAUGACGAGGAUGCAGGCACCUUGGUCAGCGUAGCAUACCCUGCUGAAGAGCAAGUCUGCAGUCACGGCGCCUGGGAGCUGCAAGUGAACGUUGCCUGGACUGCCAUCCUGUGCAAGCCGAGGGCAAAAUAUAUCAUGAGAAGAGGGAGGAGUACGCCCAGGGCUUUUACUUGCCCUCAGUAUGAGCCUCUCUUCUGA